rnacentral:misc_RNA from 1 species
UUUCCGUAGGUGAACCUGCGGAAGGAUCAUUAUCGUACAAAAUGUGAGGGGCAUGCGAGGGCUGUCGCUGACCAAAAGUCGUGCAUGCCCGAGUGUGUCCUCUUGCAUAAUAAUCCAUCUCACCCUUUGUGCAUCACCGCGUGGGCACCCUUCGGGAUCAUCUCGGAGGGGGGCUCGCGUUUUCACACAAACCCCCCUUUUAAAAGUGUAGAAUGACCACAUUUAUGCAAUCAAUACAACUUUCAACAACGGAUCUCUUGGCUCUC